rnacentral:rRNA from 1 species
AACGAACGCUGGCGGCAUGCCUAACACAUGCAAGUCGAACGAGACCUUCGGGUCUAGUGGCGCACGGGUGCGUAACGCGUGGGAACCUGCCCUUAGGUUCGGAAUAACUCCCCGACAGGGGUGCUAAUACCGGAUAAUGUCUUCGGACCAAAGAUUUAUCGCCUUUGGAUGGGCCCGCGUUGGAUUAGCUAGUUGGUAGGGUAAAAGCCUACCAAGGCGACGAUCCAUAGCUGGUCUGAGAGGAUGAUCAGCCACACUGGGACUGAGACACGGCCCAGACUCCUACGGGAGGCAGCAGUGGGGAAUAUUGGACAAUGGGCGAAAGCCUGAUCCAGCAAUGCCGCGUGAGUGAUGAAGGCCUUAGGGUGGUAAAGCUCUUUUACCCGGGAUGAUAAUGACAGUACCGGGAGAAUAAGCUUCGGCUAACUCCGU